rnacentral:rRNA from 1 species
AGAUUGAACGCUAGCGGGAUGCUUUACACAUGCAAGUCGAACGGCAGCGCGGACUUCGGUCUGGCGGCGAGUGGCGAACGGGUGAGUAAUAUAUCGGAACGUGCCCAGUAGCGGGGGAUAACUACGCGAAAGCGUGGCUAAUACCGCAUACGCCCUACGGGGGAAAGGGGGGAUUCUUCGGAACCUCUCACUAUUGGAGCGGCCGAUAUCAGAUUAGCUAGUUGGUGAGGUAAAGGCUCACCAAGGCGACGAUCUGUAGCUGGUCUGAGAGGACGACCAGCCACACUGGAACUGAGACACGGUCCAGACUCCUACGGGAGCAGCAGUGGGAAUUUGGACAAGUGGGCGCAAG